UGGGGGAAUUUUGGACAAUGGGCGAAAGCCUGAUCCAGCAAUGCCGCGUGUGAAGAAGGCCUUCGGGUUGUAAAGCACUUUUGUCCGGAAAGAAAUCCUUGGCUCUAAUACAGUCGGGGGAUGACGGUACCGGAAGAAUAAGCACCGGCUAACUACGUGCCAGCAGCCGCGGUAAUACGUAGGGUGCAAGCGUUAAUCGGAAUUACUGGGCGUAAAGCGUGCGCAGGCGGUUUGCUAAGACCGAUGUGAAAUCCCCGGGCUCAACCUGGGAACUGCAUUGGUGACUGGCAGGCUAGAGUAUGGCAGAGGGGGGUAGAAUUCCACGUGUAGCAGUGAAAUGCGUAGAGAUGUGGAGGAAUACCGAUGGCGAAGGCAGCCCCCUGGGCCAAAUACUGACGCUCAUGCACGAAAAGCGUGGGGAGCAAAACAGGAUUAGAUACCCUGGUAGUCCACGCCCUAAAACGAUGUCAACUAGUUGUUGGGGAUUCAUUUCCUUAGUAACGUAGCUAACGCGUGAAGUUGAUCGCCUGGGGGAGUACGGUCGCAAGAUUAAAACUCAAAUGAAUUG
rnacentral:rRNA from 1 species